GACAUACCUAUUUGUUGCCUCGGCGGUGCCUGUUCCGACAGCCCGCCAGAGGACCCCAAACCCUGAUUACAUUUAAGAAGUCUUCUGAGUAAACCGAUUAAAUAAAUCAAAACUUUCAACAACGGAUCUCUUGGUUCUGGCAUCGAUGAAGAACGCAGCGAAAUGCGAUAAGUAAUGUGAAUUGCAGAAUUCAGUGAAUCAUCGAAUCUUUGAACGCACAUUGCGCCCGCUAGUAUUCUGGCGGGCAUGCCUGUCCGAGCGUCAUUUCAACCCUCAAGCCCCCGGGCUUGGUGUUGGGGAUCGGCGAGCCUCCGCGCCCGCCGUCCCCUAAAUCUAGUGGCGGUCUCGCUGUAGCUUCCUCUGCGUAGUAGCACACCUCGCACUGGGAAACAGCGCGGCCACGCCGUUAAACCCCCAACUUCUGAACGUUUGACCUCGGAUCAGGUAGGAAUACCCGCUGAACUUAAGCAUAUCAAU
rnacentral:rRNA from 1 species